rnacentral:lncRNA from 1 species
GCGUUCGCUACGUCCAUUCGUUGGAGACGCUCGCUCAAGGCCGUUUGAAUGCCUGGCAGUGUGUCAUCGACACAACGCCUCGAGGUCAGAAACCAAGCUAGUACCUCAUCCAUUGGCACUGACACGAUGCGCCCAGCAUCCUGCUCGAUGCUCGACCUGGAGAAGCCUCGGGCUGCUGACGUACUGCAUGGCCGCGUCCUGGAGCUGAGGGGUGGCGGCGUGCCGCGCUUGACCUGUGAUCGGCUGUGUGCUCGAGACUGGUUCCGAGACCUGGCCCGCCACCGACGAGGUCUCCUGAGCCCUGGCCGCUGAGCGGAAGAUGCGAGGCUGGGGAGAGGCGACGUCUGCCUGGCGCGGACGACUGCGUGAGCUGCUCGGGCGAACGCUGAGUGGAGAGGUGUAGCGGAUGAUGGACUAUAGUUUUGCGCACGGUUUCGGCAUUACGGUUCGCCGGCGCGGUGCGUCUGUACGAUAUCUGAGUGACUGGCCGGAGAACGGGCAGGUGACAGUGCAUGGCCACGGAGGCUGAGUGCUGGAUGCUAAAGCUGCUGUGUCUCUGCUUGCAGAAACCCCACUUUGCUGCAUGCGCGAAGGCUGUGUUUUGUGCCAUUCCUUCUGUUUCUAUCUUUUCCUUUGUUUGCCUUUCAAUGUAUCCUUCCCUUUACGUCUUUCAUUUUUGUGUACUAUAAAGCGUUCAACGUACA